rnacentral:sRNA from 1 species
AAAAAUUUACAAGGAUUUUUAAAAGAGUUUUUU